UACGUAGGUGGCAAGCGUUGUCCGGAUUUAUUGGGUUUAAAGGGUGCGUAGGCGGUCUGACAGGUCUGCUGUGAAAACUCGAGGCUCAACCUCGAGAUGUCGGCGGAAACCGUCUGGCUAGAGUCCGGAAGAGGAGAGUGGAAUUCCUGGUGUAGCGGUGAAAUGCGCAGAUAUCAGGAAGAACACCCGUGGCGAAGGCGGCAUCUCUGGGCCGAAUACUGACGCUGAGGAGCGAAAGCGUGGGGAGGCGAACAGG
rnacentral:rRNA from 1 species